rnacentral:rRNA from 1 species
CGGAGGCCCCGAGCGUUAGGCGGAAUCACUGGGCUUAAAGCGUGUGUAGGCGGAUCGUUAAGUGCCUUGUGAAAUCCCACGGCUUAACCGUGGAACUGCUUGGCAUACUGGCGGUCUUGAGCCACUUAGGGGCAACCGGAACAAAUGGUGGAGCGGUGAAAUGCGUAGAUAUCAUUUGGAACGCCAAUGGUGAAAACAGGUUGCUGGGAGUGUGCUGACGCUGAGACACGAAAGCCAGGGGAGCGAACGGGAUUAGAUACCCCGGUAGUCCUGGCCGUAAACGAUGUCGACUAGAUCGUGGUGGCUCUGACGCCAUCACGGUCGAAGCAAAAGUGCUAAGUCGACCGCCUGGGAAGUACGGUCGCAAGGCUA